GGACUGCUGAUGAAUAAAAAAGAAAAACUUAAGUAAAAACUAAAGUAAUAUCAUCAUUUAAAUCUGAAACUGCAAUAAAUUGUUUCUUGUUUCUUUUUACAGGUUUGUGGCGUAUCGUCAUGGUUUCUGUGGGGUUAGCAACACUUUCAAUAAUUGUUGUGAGCGUCAACAUUUGGGAGAGAAAUAAACGGACAACUAAAAGCAGCUGGUCAGCUCAUCUAAGGGCCCAUGAAGGAACAUAAGUCUAGAGUGGAUCUGAGAGGAAUACAGCAGUGGUGACGACUACAGAGACCAUCCAUCCAUGAGAGAGGACACGUGAAGCUGGUGAUCCUGGGGGUGCAGUGACUGUUGAGGACUUGGAACAGAAGUCAUCCAGAUCAACCCAUCUGUGUCCUGCAAGCAAGAUUUACUGGUGCUGCAAACGACAGACUUUUUCUGCAGUGUCCUUGUUAUAGGAAAACUGAACUCAAGCUUCAUGUUGGACUCAACGGUGGACUGAAUUAAACGUGCUAUUACAUAAAGUCAAUUGUUCCAGGUGCUGGGGAUAAUUCUGGAGGUGAUUCGUCCAGUGAGGUCCCAGUAGAGCCACCAGAGCCAAUUAGGGCCCCAGAUAAUGUUAUAAGAAGUCACCUUCAAGAGCUUACUAGGUAGAGAGAUGACCUUCUAAGGCUAAAUGAGGAAACCACGGGUCAAAGAGAAAAGACCAGCCAUGCCCUGACUUGUUCGUACGUUUCUGUUCCAGGUGA